rnacentral:lncRNA from 13 species
CUACCAUUCAUUAUGUCAUCCACAAAUACCUGUAUCACUACCAUUCAUUAUGUCAUCNNNNNNNNNNCAACAAUCCUCUUCCCAUAUUACUAAAUGUUUUACAUCCCUCCAAAUACCUGUAUCACUAUCAUUCAUAUCACUACCAUUCAUAUCACUACCAUUCAUAUCACUACCAUUCAUAUCACUACCAUUCAUAUCACUACCAUUCAUAUCACUAUCAUUCAUAUCACUAUCAUUCAUAUCACUACCAUUCAUAUCACUAUCAUUCAUAUCACUACCAUUCAUAUCACUACCAUUCAUUGUCAUCCACAAAAACCUGUCACUACCAUUCAUAUCACUACCAUUCAUUAUGUCAUCCACAAAUACCUGUAUCACUAUCAUUCAUAUCACUAUCAUUCAUAUCACUAUCAUUCAUAUCACUAUCAUUCAUAUCACUAUCAUUCAUAUCACUAUCAUUCAUAUCACUACCAUUCAUUAUGUCAUCCACAAAUACCUGUAUCACUACCAUUCAUUAUGUCAUCCACAAAUAGCGGUAUCACGACCAUUCAUUAUGUCAUCCACAAAUACCUGUAUCACUAUCAUUCAUUAUGUCAUCCACAAAUACCUGUAUCACUACCAUUCAUUAUGUCAUCCACAAAUAGCGGUAUCACGACCAUUCAUUAUGUCAUCCACAAAUACCUGUAUCACUACCAUUCAUUAUGUCAUCCACAAAUACCUGUAUCACUACCAUUCAUUAUGUCAUCCACAAAUAGCGGUAUCACGACCAUUCAUUAUGUCAUCCACAAAUAGCGGUAUCACGACCAUUCAUUAUGUCAUCCACAAAUACCUGUAUCACUACCAUUCAUUAUGUCAUCCACAAAUACCUGUAUCACUACCAUUCAUUAUGUCAUCAACAAAUACCUGUAUCACUAUCAUUCAUUAUGUCAUCCACAAAUACCUGUAUCACUACCAUUCAUUAUGUCAUCCACAAAUACCUGUAUCACUAUCAUUCAUUAUGUCAUCCACAAAUACCUGUAUCACUACCAUUCAUUAUGUCAUCCACAAAUACCUGUAUCAGGUUUGUUUUGUUUUGAUAUUUUAACCUGCGUGUCGUGAUCUCGUUUGAUGUGGGUGGACAAAAUUAAUUUAUGCAUGAUGGCGCACGCGCUCAGCCGGUUUGGGUUCCGUGUUUGGGCCAAACACUGUACAUUAGCAUUCCGAAAAGGUAGUGGGUCCGACCACCAGAGUGGGGAUGUUGCUGUUACCAUUGAAACAUUCAAUCCACCAAAACAAACAAACCCAAAAUAAGACUAAAUCAAGUUUUCCAAGCCGACUAAAUGUACAUGCAUGGUUCUAAU